rfam:Hordeum vulgare subsp. vulgare, WGS project CAJW01000000 data, contig: morex_contig_1558316
UUAAUACUCCCUCCGUCUGAAAAUACUUCUCAUAGGAAUGGAUGUAUCUAGAUGUAUUUUAGUUUUAGAUAAAUUUAUUUUUAAUCAUUUUUGCGAUAAGUAUUUUCGGACGGAGGGAGUAUAUU